AGUGAACACUGGCGGUAGGCCUAACACAUGCAAGUCGAACGGCAGCACAGUAAGAGCUUGCUCUUACGGGUGGCGAGUGGCGGACGGGUGAGGAAUACAUCGGAAUCUACUUUUUCGUGGGGGAUAACGUAGGGAAACUUACGCUAAUACCUCAUACGACCUACGGGUUAAAGCAGGAGAUCUUCGGACCUUGCGCGAUUGUAUUAGCCGAUGUCGGAUUAGCUAGUUGGCUGGGUAAAGGACCACCAAGGCAACGAUCCGUAGCUGGUCUGAGAGGAUGAUCAGCCACACUGGAACUGAGACACGGUCCAGACUCCUACGGGAGGCAGCAGUGGGGAAUAUUGGACAAUGGGCGAAAGCCUGAUCCAGCCAUACCGCGUGGGUGAAGAAGGCCUUCGGGUUGUAAAGCCCUGUUGUUGGGAAAGAAAAGCAGCAGGUUAAUAUCCCGAUGUUCUGACGGUACCCAAAGAAUAAGCACCGGCUAACUUCGUG
rnacentral:rRNA from 1 species